GGAUUAGAUACCCUGGUAGUCCACGCCGUAAACGAUGGGUGCUAGACGUUGGCGAGCUUGCUCGUCAGUGUCGCAGCUAACGCGUUAAGCACCCCGCCUGGGGAGUACGGCCGCAAGGUUGAAACUCAAAGGAAUUGACGGGGGCCCGCACAAGCGGUGGAGCAUGUGGUUCAAUUCGACGCAACGCGCAGAACCUUACCAGCCCUUGACAUGGGAGUCGCCGGGACCAGAGACGGUCCCUUCGGUUCGGCCGGACUCCGCACAGGUGCUGCAUGGCUGUCGUCAGCUCGUGCCG
rnacentral:rRNA from 1 species